UGCCUCUUAGUGUAAUGGUUAGCACACAAGUUUUUGGCACUUAGAGUAGAGGUUCAAAUCCCCUAGAGGCAA
rnacentral:tRNA from 1 species